rnacentral:lncRNA from 1 species
UCAUUUAUUAUGUGAUCAACUAACAUACUCUAAUUCCAAUAAAUAUAUGUCAAAUUCCACUAAAAAAUUAUUGUGGUCAUAGAUUUCAUGAUUACAUGUCCUUUGAAUCACCCAAGAGAACACAUUGUCUCAAUCUCUUUAAAUAUCAUGGUGUCUCUAUUGAAAAUACUAGUUGUCAUCAGCCUCCAUCAACAGUGACCCAAUCCAUAGAAAUAUAUGACCAAUUU